GGACUACACGACUUAUAUAAAGCACCAUCUCUCUCCUUCAGGCUAGCUCUGGUGGCACACACCGGUGAGCCCAGGACUCAGGAGUUUAAGUAGUGCCGUCAGCAAACACCCAUCAGCUGCAGUGGCACGACCUAGCAGAAACAGCCGCUCAGCCAAGUCGCCAAAGUGAAGAUCAGCAAAGACAGAGACCACGAAGCAUCGCAAAGCUAGCUGUGCAAGCCUGCCGCCAUUGUCCACUGGGUCCUAUUUAUACAUUCUCCAAGCAUCACGUGACUUCUUGCCUCACCACCUGAGUCUGUCUUAGCAAAGCUCCACGAGAAUCUGUAUCAGCUGACAUCACUCUGCCAGUUGGCCCAAGUCCUCAGAAGACGCAAGAAACCACCAGAACACCACCAGAAGUUUUUUUGGAAAUUGAUCCUCGCCACCUACAAGGCAAGCAAAGCAUGAGGCUUGUCAAGUGUUUUCCCUUCUUUCUUUCCUUUUUCAAC
rnacentral:sRNA from 1 species